rnacentral:rRNA from 1 species
UACGUAGGGUGCAAGCGUUUAAUCGGAAUUACUGGGCGUAAAGCGUGCGCAGGCGGUGAUGUAAGACAGAUGUGAAAUCCCCGGGCUCAACCUGGGAACUGCAUUUGUGACUGCAUCGCUGGAGUGCGGCAGAGGGGGGAUGGAAUUCCGCGUGUAGCAGUGAAAUGCGUAGAUAUGCGGAGGAACACCGAUGGCGAAGGCAAUCCCCCUGGGCCUGCACUGACU